rnacentral:rRNA from 1 species
AACGAACGCUGGCGGCAGGCUUAACACAUGCAAGUCGAGCGCCCCGCAAGGGGAGCGGCAGACGGGUGAGUAACGCGUGGGAAUCUACCCAUCUCUACGGAAUAACGCAUGGAAACGUGUGCUAAUACCGUAUACGUCCUUCGGGAGAAAGAUUUAUCGGAGGUGGAUGAGCCCGCGUUGGAUUAGCUAGUUGGUGGGGUAAAGGCCUACCAAGGCGACGAUCCAUAGCUGGUCUGAGAGGAUGAUCAGCCACACUGGGACUGAGACACGGCCCAGACUCCUACGGGAGGCAGCAGUGGGGAAUACUGGACAAUGGGCGCAAGCCUGAUCCAGCCAUGCCGCGUGAGUGAUGAAGGCCCUAGGGUUGUAAAGCUCUUUCACCGGUGAAGAUAAUGACGGUAACCGGAGAAGAAGCCCCGGCUAACUUCGUGCCAGCCGCCGCUGUAAUAC